rnacentral:misc_RNA from 1 species
AGCUUCUCAACUGCAAUUAGUUUUAUCUGGUUGUAGCUUGGAGAUGGGGGUUUUUGCAGGCUUCAGAUAAUGAAGUCGGCUCCCCUGAAAUGUAUUAGUGGUCUCUGAGCAGAGAAAACGGUGUGAUAAUUAUUUAUACCUUAGUACUUUGCAUGAACAGAUUGUACUGCUUCUAACACAGAAAGUGUUUGACAA